rnacentral:tRNA from 1 species
GGAAGGAUGGUCCAGUGGUUAGGGCACUAGCCUGGGACUUAAGUGGCCUGGGUUUAUGUCCCUGCUCUGCCA